GACGAACGCUGGCGGCGUGCCUAAUACAUGCAAGUAGAACGCACAGUUUAUACCGUUGCUUGUUACACCAUAGACUGUGAGUUGCGAAUGGGUGAGUAACGCGUAGGUAACCUGCCUGGUAGCGGGGGAUAACUAUUGGAAUCGAUACCUAAUAUAUCAUAAUCUUAAUUAUUGCAUGAUAAUUAAUUGAUAGGUUCAAUCGUACCACUACCAGAUGGACCUGCGUUGUAUUAGCUAGUAGGUCAGGUUACGGAUCACCUAAGCGAAGAAACAUAGCCGACCUGGGAGGGGGAUCCGCCCACAUGGGACUGAAGACCGGCCCAGACUCCUAAGGGAGGCAGCAGUAAGGAAUCUUCGGCAAAGGAGGAAAGUCUGACCGGGGAACGCCGCGGGGGUGAAUGAGGGUUUCGGAACGGAAAGCUCCGUUGAAAGGGAAGAACGAAAGUGGGAGUGAAAUAUUCACACUGUGACGGUAUCUUACCAGAAAGAGACGGCUAACUACGUG
rnacentral:rRNA from 1 species